CCCUUUUCAGACACUAUCAUUUUGUGAAAAUCAUCUGAUUGAACUGGUCUUCCAUUCAGAUACCAUGACACAUCAGGAGCUGGCAGUCCGCUUACCUGGAAAGGAAAACACAAGAAGGAGAUGACAGAAUUUUAAAUUAUAUCAUCACUGGAACCUAUUUGUCCAUUUAUAAAUUUAAACAAUUCCAGUAUCUGAGUGGGUUUGUGGUUCAAAAUGCGAAGAAGAUCUUAAAAAGUGAAUUUGAACUGUGGUUGUUGCCUGGACUCGGCAUUCAAAUGCAACAAACUGACCGCUGGUUGUCGAAAUGUCUUGAAGAAGCUGAACAAAAACAGAAUUCACAGAAUGGAAGAAACUUUCAUCAUAUGCAAUGAUUUGGGAUGCCAAUGGUAAUUUUAUUGAAAAGAAGAUAUGUGCAAUUAGAAAAAAAAUGAAGAUGGGAAGAAAACAUAAACAAUGAAAGGAAAU